rnacentral:rRNA from 1 species
UCUGGUGACAAUGGCAAGGAGGUCACACCUGUUCCCAUGCCGAACACAGAAGUUAAGCUCCUUAGCGCCGAUGGUAGUCGGACUGACGUUCCGCUGGGUCGGCGGUUCGAACC